rnacentral:lncRNA from 1 species
UGCUAAGAAAAGAACUUUAUUGUUAGCUAUUCUUGCAUCUUUUGUUUUCUAUGUGUUCAAACCAGAUUGAUCCAAACAAUCUUUUAUGUUAAGAAUCACAAGCACGUAGAUUUUAUCUCACACCCUGACAUUUCAUCAAACUAUCAAAUUAUCUUAUUCUGUCUUUAUCUGUAGUUCUCAGAGUGCUACAGAAGCCAAGAAAUGAAGUUUUUAUCAUUUUUCGGUUUUUGAAUGUACCCACAUUCAGAGAGCUCAUUCUUGGAUGGGUCUGAUGCUUGCAGUGGAGGUGGGAUGAGGCAGGAGGCCAAACCAUUCUUUUAAAGAAAUGUCCUGACCUAAAAACUACAUUAGGAACCACACACACACACACACACACACACACACACAGAGAAUCAACUGAAGUGAAAUCCAAAUUCUACUCCCUCCCCAUCCCCUUCCUCUUUACCAAUCCCCUUUGCAUCCCGGAGGAGGUCUCUCUGCUUCUUGUGUCUCUAUUUCACCCCUUAACAGAGAUGCUCAGGUACCGCAUGAGGAGCUGAGGAUUCACAAACAAAAUUCAAUCUAAAUAACUUUUCAGAUAUGUCUUCCUGAAACAUUUACUAGUCCUCUCCCUGUCUGACAAGUGAUCACAACAAUGAGUCAUCCUUUGGGCAUUAAUCCAUAGCAGCCUGAAAUAACAGCAAUACCAGAGCUAUGACUUUACAUUUUCCAUUUUUAUUAAAACUCUCACUUCACUUAAACCUGAUUAUCUUAAGGCUAAUUUUAUUCCAUGUUUGGCCUUCAAAUUUGUGCUAAUUUGCAAGCCUUUUCCAAAUCACCUCUUACAUGAAUACAAGAAAAAUUCUCAUCCAUGAAAUUACUUGACUCAGGAAAACGGAUCUCUUUACCCACAGAGGACUUUUCAGAAGGUACUUUCUGAAAAGGAGGCAGAAGAAAUUGUUUUUACAAAAUGAGUUAGGGCUAGAAACUAAAUCUAUGUACCUUAAACUAUAAUUCGAUCUAUAUAGUUAUGCCAUGUAUGAUUUCCCAGAGAUCUUGUCCGUAUCAGAUCAAGAGAAUAAAACCUAAUGAACAAAAUCUUCUUGGGGUUCCAUAUCCCUAAAAAAACAUAAUUCCAUAGUGUCAUCAUUAUCCUCUUCUUUACUAUAAGACACACACCUAGAACACUAAUCCAUUGUCAGUCCCUUUUUCUAUUUAUUCAUUUCAAAUAAACAUGAUGCAAUGUCUACACAUUCAGAUCUCAUACAUGUUGCUUUUUGUGGCAUGGCCUACUGAUCAUUUCCCCUGUAUUGUUUUCUAAGAUUAGCUUUCCCCACACUUCUUUUGGGUGCGUAUUGUAUGCUUCUUGAAAGACAAAUACACAGCGUUUUGCAAAGUGCUGAAAACGCACUUGGUAAAGACUUGGUGAUUCUGUGCCUUAAUUGUGACUUACACAUUUUUCUAUCUCCUCCCAUUCAAUGGUUAGUACUUGUACCUUUUGUGGACCCUCUGCCACUUCAAGUCCACCUCUUAUACAUACAUAUUCCUUUAUAUGCAACUCAUGAGAGCUUAAGCCAAGCUCCACUGAGUUCUGAAACUUCUACAGAUGUCUGCUGCUAUAACUGUUGAGCAUAAAAACACUUGGAGAGGGGACACUCAUUUUUUAAAAACUUUUUUUUUGGUGGAGGGAGUAUGAGGACAACAUCUUAUAUUAAUAAGCAGAAACUUCAUUAUUUGAGAAUGCUGCUGUUGAGCAGAAGAAAUGAUUAAGACAAAGUUUGAAUGGAAUAAGACUACACAUUCAGUGCCAAAAUUACAAAUGACCACCUCUUCCCUUCUCUCAUGACUUCUAUUUUGUACUCAACCAGUACAGAGUAUUUUGUAGUUUUGUAUUAAGACACAACUCCUACUUCCUCCAGGAAACUACUUUGGGGCCCUGUUGAUCUCCUUCCUUUAGCUUCCUAACAAACCUAGGACUUAUAAUUUCGACUGUGUGUAUGUGCGUGUGUGUUUGUGUGUGUGUUUACAGAAUCUCUGGUAGCUCCAGUGAGAACAGAGUGAGCCUCACCCUUUCCUCAUGACUAAGUCCAGAGAAUGUGAGGUGAAGGAGUUCUGUGACUUUUUAACUUUAGUAUUCCACUCACUGUCCACAAGGCUUGGGUUACACUGUCUGCAUCACUGAUUACAGUAACAGUGUGUGUGUGUGUGUAUACACACAAACAACCAUAUUGCCACAAAUGCAUACUAGAAAGCAGGGCCUUACCUUCUCUGAACUGUUACAAUGCCUAGCCCAGAGUACUCUGGUAAUAGUGACUUCAUGGAGUUUUGUACACACACCCAGGUGAGAAAGGAUAUAAGCUAAGCUACUCAUCCACACCUCAUGAAACCUAUGGGAGCUAGUCCUGACUCAUGGUUCAUUUAUGAAUACAGAAGCCCCAAUUAAUUAAAUUAACUUGGUCUCCCAAUCCAUGAUCUUGAGUUUUAAUUGAUAAGUAUAAAAUAGACACACUUGAAAAUUUUUGCAUUCACAUCACACCACCAGUACAUGGCCUUUUCCAUUAAUGUCCACAUUGACCAACCUUUCAUACUAUGUGUGCUUCUUACAAGAAAUUAAAAGCAGAGCCUGCCCCUUUGUUACGCAGCACAGAAGCUUUACUGUAUAGUUUCAGAGUCUCUGGUAUCUCCAGUAGGAACAGAGUGGGCCUCACCCUUUCCUCAUGACUAAGUCCAGAUAAUUUGAGGUGAAAGUUUGAUGACUUUUUAACUUUAGUAUUCCACUCAUUGUUCACAAAUGCUUAGGUUACACUGCCUGCCUCACUAAUUAAAAGUGAGGUAACCUGGUAUAAGCUGUGCCCAACCCAAUAUUCGAGAACAUUUAGUGAGCAUUUUAAAAUCAGGCUGUAUUACUAAACAUCCCCAGCUUCCAAAGUUCAGAAGUGUGGUGGGCCUAAUCAUUUUCC